rnacentral:rRNA from 1 species
GACGAACGCUGGCGGCGUGCUUAACACAUGCAAGUCGAACGGAAAGGCCCUGCUUUUGUGGGGUGCUCGAGUGGCGAACGGGUGAGUAACACGUGAGUAACCUGCCCUUGACUUUGGGAUAACUUCAGGAAACUGGGGCUAAUACCGGAUAGGAGCUCCUGCUGCAUGGUGGGGGUUGGAAAGUUUCGGCGGUUGGGGAUGGACUCGCGGCUUAUCAGCUUGUUGGUGGGGUAGUGGCUUACCAAGGCUUUGACGGGUAGCCGGCCUGAGAGGGUGACCGGGCACAUUGGGACUGAGAUACGGCCCAGACUCCUACGGUAGGCAGCAGUGGGGAAUAUUGCACAAUGGGCGGAAGCCUGAUGCAGCAACGCCGCGUGCGGGAUGACGGCCUUCGGGUUGUAAACCGCUUUCGCCUGUGACGAAGCGUGAGUGACGGUAAUGGGUAAAGAAGCACCGGCUAACUACGUG